AGAGUUUGAUCAUGGCUCAGAUUGAACGCUGGCGGCAGGCCUAACACAUGCAGGUCGAACGGUAACAGGAAGAAGCUUGCUUCUUUGCUGACGAGUGGCGGACGGGUGAGUAAUGUCUGGGAAACUGCCUGAUGGAGGGGGAUAACUACUGGAAACGGUAGCUAAUACCGCAUAACGUCGCAAGACCAAAGAGGGGGACCUUCGGGCCUCUUGCCAUCGGAUGUGCCCAGAUGGGAUUAGCUAGUAGGUGGGGUAACGGCUCACCUAGGCGACGAUCCCUAGCUGGUCUGAGAGGAUGACCAGCCACACUGGAACUGAGACACGGUCCAGACUCCUACGGGAGGCAGCAGUGGGGAAUAUUGCACAAUGGGCGCAAGCCUGAUGCAGCCAUGCCGCGUGUAUGAAGAAGGCCUUCGGGUUGUAAAGUACUUUCAGCGGGGAGGAAGGGAGUAAAGUUAAUACCUUUGCUCAUUGACGUUACCCGCAGAAGAAGCACCGGCUAACUCCGUGCCAGCAGCCGCGGUAAU
rnacentral:rRNA from 1 species